AGAAUUGAAACUAGAUGAUACUUCCCUUCCUCUCUGCAAAAGAAAUCUGGCUUUCCCUUGUUUCUCCUUCUUUCUUAUUUCCUUUUUAGCUGAAUGAUACUGCCAAGCUAAAUAAAUAUAUGCAAAUUUUGCCUGUGCCUGACUCUUUUGUAGAUGUUGAACCUGGCACACUCUACCAGGUGGCAGGCUGGGGACACACACCACCAGAAAAGCCAACAAAAUAUCUCCAGAAGGCAACCCUUAAAAUUGUCAGUAGAAAAAGCUGUGACAAACAUUGUGCCAAUGACCCUAAAAUAACCAACAGCGUGUUGUGUGCUACAGGGAAUAGUAAAUUAUACCCAAGCGAUGCUUGUGAGGGAGAUUCAGGUGGGCCAUAAUCUGUGCUGGUCAGCACCAGGGGUUUGUUUCUUUUGGAGAAGAACAUGAAAAUUCAAGCAUACCUGGAGUUUCUACACAGCUGACUGAAGAAUUUAUUGACAGGAUAAAAAGAACCAUUUCCCAUGACAGAUCCAUGAAAGAGUCAAGAGCAUUUUAACGAAUACUGUGCUGUGCAAUAGAGCUGGGUCCUGCUGCUUUGACACACCUCCUUUGAAAUGUUCCUCCCAGCUUUACAGCUUUGCUGACACCACCACAGCUUUAUGAGAACCGUUCAAAAUAUCCACAUUUAUACAGAUAACACCUUUACUAAUCUUUAGCAGGAGACUGCCACUUAGAAAACAUAAUUUGUAUUGGAUUCCACUCUACUUUUUACUGGGAUGGGAAAGUAUUCAUUGCACCUGGGAUAAAGCAAUAUUUGUUAAUGUGUAUGUACACAAAAGUUCAGUUUCAGACUGAGUGUGAAUGAGAUGUCUGCUGAAUGAGAAAAAAUUGAAAAAAAAAAAAAGGAAAAUCUUAAAAUGUUAAAAUAUUUAUCUGUAAUUUUAUUAAACCCCAAAUACUUCAUUUUACCAUUAUUGAAUAUUUAUUUAUUUCUUUAUUUUUCUAAAUUCAAUUUCAAAGAGUUAAAAUAUUAAAUAGAGAGAAACAGUUUUUCCAAUAAUCUUCAUAAUAAAAAUACAAAUAUAGAGAU
rnacentral:lncRNA from 1 species